AGCUGGAGUGGACAGGACGGCUUUCGAGAUUUGGCGCGGCCUUUGUCUCUGGCUGCAGUCGUAGCUCCAGGUCUUUUCUUCUCUGUUCUGUGUCUUCUGCUCCUAGAGGCCCAGCUUCUGUGUCCCUGUGACCUGUAGGUAUUGGGAGAUCCACAGCUAAGAUGCCAUAGCUGAUGUGACCUUUUUCUUCCUAGGUUCUGCCUGCAAAGAAGAUUGUGACAUAUUGCUGGUUGCAACACCACGGUGAUGUUACUUUUUGCCUUCUCACUGCCCUCAGAAGGCAUUGUGAUAGAACAAUUGUCUCAUCGUUUAUUUCAGUCCACAGGUGGGUUAUUGACACUCAGACCAAGAUUCAGUACACCUGAAAGACUGUGACUCCACUAAGAAAACAGUCUGUGAGAGGAAUUGAGGCUCUCGUCCAUGGAUCUAGUCCACUGUUGAGAUUGUGAAUCAUGUACUUAGGCCCAACAUAAAAGAGGUGUUGAUUCUCAUACCUGGAACCUGGACAUGUGCAGGAUUGUUAAUCUCAUUUAUGAACAUUCCUGCAGCUGUGAUUGUGACAUAUGCCUCUGCCCAGCACCUGAGUGAUUGAAUUCUUCUGCCUGGGCUCAGCCCACAGAUUGGAUUGUGAAACAUUGCUGAACCCAGGACCUAACUAAUGUAAAUCUAUUCUCCUGCCUUGGCACUGCCCACUGGGAACCCUGUGACAUAUUGCUGCACCCAACACCCAGGUUAUGUGGCUCUCCUGCCAGUGCCUUGCCCACACGGGCUGUUGUGACAUAUUGCUGGGUCCACACCCAGGUGAUAUAAUUCUCUUGCCUAGGCCCUGCUUACAGAGAGCAUUGUGACAUAUCUUUCUGCUCAUCACACAGUUAAUAAGACAGUUUCUGCCUGGUUUCUCCUUACAGGGUGUAUCAAAACAGAUUGCUAGGCCCAGCACCUAGCUGAUGUGACUCUUUCUAGGUUUUGCCCACAAGGAACAUUGUGACAUAUCACUGGGCCCAACAGCAAGGUGAUGUUGCCCUUUUGCUUUGGCCUUGCUCUCAGAAAGCAUUGUGACAUAUUGCUGAACCCAGCACCAAGGUGAUGUGAGUUGGUAUGCCUGGACCCUGCUAACAAGAGGCAUUGUGACAUACUUCUGGGACCAUCAUCUAUUUGAUGUGACUCUCCUUUUACCUGGGCUUCUGUUGUAAAAGAGAUUGUGACAUAACUCUGGGCCUAACAGCUAGGUAAUGUGACUUUUCUUUUGCUUGGACCAUGCCCAAGGAAAGAGAGUGAUGUAUUACUAAGCUCAUCACAUACGUGGUGUAAUUUCUUCUGCUCGGUCUUUGCCCACAGGAAUCAUUUUGCUGUAUUUCUGAUUCAUCACCUAGUUGAUGUGACCUUUCUUUUUUCAGACUUGUCUGCAGCGCAGAUUGCUACAUAUUGCUUGGCCCAGCUCCUAUGUGAUGUGACUCUCCUGUCAUACCUGAGUGCUCCCCACUGCGGUAAUUGUGACAUAUAGCUGGGCUCUGGCCCUAGUUUAUGUAACUUUUCUUCCUGACUGCUACUCACCUGGGGGCAUUGUGACAUAUCUCUGAACCUCUCACCUAAGUGAUGUGAAUCUCCUGCUUGAGCCCACUUCUCAGGGAGUAUUAUUAUAUAUUGUCACACACAGCAACUAGGUGAUAUGACUCUCUCUACAGCUUGGACUCUGCCCAAUAAAAAACUGUGAUGUAUCACUGGACCCAGCACCAAGGCUAUGUGACUCUCCUGCCGGGGCUCUACAUUCAUUGUUUUUGUGACAUACGGCUGGGAAUAAUGUCUAGGUCAUGUGACUGUCCUGCAUGGACCCUGCCCACAGGGGUAUUAUGACACAUUUUUUUAGUCAUCUAGGUGAUGUGACUCACUUCUGCCUGGGCCCUGCCAGAAAGAAUGAUAGUGACUUAUCACUGAACCCAGCACUUAAGUGAUGUGACUCUCCUCUUUUGCCUGGACCUUGCAUGUUUUUGGUAUUGUGACAUAUUGCUGGGCCCAACACCUAGGAAAUGAGACAUUUUUGCUUCAGCCCUGACUACAGGCAGCUUUCUGACAUUACUCUGUAUCCAUCACAUAGGGCAUACGUCUCUCAUCUCUUCUGCCUGCACCUGCCCACAGGGAAGAUGGUGACAUAACACAACAACUAGGUGAUGUGUCUCCAGCCUGGGCCUAGCCCACCAGAAGUAUUGUGACAGCUGGUUUCUGAGCCCAGUGAUAUGUUACAAUGCUCCCUGUGGAGCCCCCUGUGACACCUGGUCUCAGAAACUAGGUGAUGUGACUACUGCCCAAGCCCUGCUUUUAGAAAGGAAUUGUGACUUAUCACUGGCCAAAUGUGACAUGAGCCUCCUGCCUGGUCCUUGCUUUCAGAGAAGACCAUGACAUAUCUCUGUUCCAGCACCCAGGUGAUGUGAUAAUACUGCCUGGGCUCUCCCCUCAGGAAGUAUCAAGACAUAUUUCUGGACCCAGCCCAUAGGUGGUAUGACUGUCCUCCACUACUUAGACUCUGCCCAAGAAGCGACUAUGAUGUAUCAAUAUUCCCAGCACUUAGAUGAUGUAACUCUCUUAUGCUUGGGCCCUGUUCACAUAGUAUAUGAAACAUAUGUCUGGGUCCAUCACCUAGUUGAUGUGACUCUUCUGCAUGGGCUCUGUCCAUGGAGAUAUGAAAUAUUUUUUCAUUCAUCCCCUGCCAUUUCUCUUUUGUGCCUCUUUUGCCUGGGCCUUGCCAAAAAGAGGAUUAUAAUGUAUCACUGGACCCAGAACCUAGGUGAGGUGACUCCUAUUUUGCCUGGGGCUCACAUAUUUGGGUAUUGUGAUAUAGGGGAUGGAUGGGAGGCACAUGAGUGGGCUUUGCUCACAGAAGGCCUUGUGACAUCUCAGCAUUCAUUACCUAGGAAAUGUGACUAUUGUCUUCCAUUUGCACCCUGCUUACAGGGAAGAUUGUGACAUAUUGCUGGACCUAGCAACCAGGUGAUGUGUCUCUCUUGCCUGAACCCUGCCCACAGGGAGCAUUGUAACAUAUCUCUGGGCUCAGCAGCCAAGGGAUGUUACUAUCCUUCCCGGUCCCUGCCCUCAAGUAAUAUUGUACAAAUCUUUGGCCCAGCACCCGGGUGAUGUGACUCCCCUGCUUAUUACCUACCUGCACGUGGAUUUGUUACACAUAAUGUUGUUCCAGCUCAUAGGUGUGAUGAUGACUCUCAUAUAUUGAACCAGCCAAUAGUUGAUACAGUCUCUCAUAGCUAGGCUUAGAAAAAUGGAUAAGAUUCUGGGUCUUCUGUUUUUAUAAAGGUCAGAAAGGAGUAUCACACUCUCACAUAUGGUAUAAAGUCUUCAGGUUGUACACAGUGUGUCAUUGCAGAGCCCAGUGCACAGGUGAGAUUUACUUGUGUGUAUGCACACCCUACUAUCCAUUAAAAUUGUAAUUCUCACAGACGGACAGACCCUACUUGUAAUCUCACAUAUGGAUGCAGUCCACAUUUGGAAUUGUCAUAUGUGAACAUCCAGCCAGAUAUGGGAUAGUAAAACAUUUUUAAAUGCAGCUCAUAGAAAGGUGAGGGCUCUCCUAUCUAGACACAGAAAAUUAGGGAGAUGUUGACUCUUAUACCUGGGGUUAAGAACACAGAUAUGAUUAUAGGUUCAUACCAGCACAAAUGUCUUAGAAUAGAUUGUGACUCUCAUGCAAAACAUAAAGCCCUAGCAUAGUACAGAGAGUGUCCUAACAGGGCCAAGCACACAGGUGAGAUUACGACACUUGUAUGCACACACUUUCAACAGUAAAGAUUGUCCUGCACCCACAUAAACAACCCGCUGUUGAGGUUCUGAACCUCACACACAAAGCCAGCUGAAAUUUGGAAAAUUGAAUCAUGUGGAUCUGGCCCACAGCUGGGUUGGUGACUCUCAGAUAAAGAUUCAGCACUCUUGUGAGCCUCUGACUCCACUAGGGGAAAAUAGUUCACAGGAGGGAUUGAGGCUUUCAGACACAGAUCUAGCCACCUUUAAGACUAUGACUCACGAAAUUAGACCCAAAAUAGAGAAGGUAUUGACUCUCAUACCUAGAACCAGGACGUGUGUGGGAUGUUUAAUAUAAUCCCUAGACCUUGCAGGUGUGAUUGUGACAUACACCUUUUCCCAGCACCUAAGUGAUUUGACCCUUCUGCCUGGGCCCUACAGAUGGGAUUGUGGCAAAUGACUAAACCUAGCACCUGGAUGAUGUGAGCCUAUAAUUUUGUCUAAGCACUUUUCACAGAGAGAAUUGUGAAAUAUUGCUGGCCCUAACACCCAGGUGAAGUGACUUUCCUCUAUUGCUUGAUCUCUCUGCCCAAGGACAGAUUGUGAUAUAUGACUGGGCCCAGCACCUAGGUAAUGUGACUUCCUUCUCCUGCCUGGGCCCUGCAUACAUUGAGUAUUGUGACAUAUGGCUGGGUCUAACACUUUCAUGAUGCAAAUCUGCAUGGGCCCGGCCUACAGAGGUAUUAGAACAUAUCUGUUUAUUCAUCACCCAGGUGACGGAGAAGAGGUGGUGAUUGAUUUCACUCUCCUCUUCUGCCGGGGCCCUGCCAAAAUCAGGGAUUGUGACAUAUCUCUGAUUUUGCAUCUAGCAUCUAGGUGAUGAAACCUGGUAGCAUCUAGCAUGUAGGUGGACCUAGCAUCUAGGUGAUGAAACUCUUCUGUUUUCCCUGGGCCCCACAUAUUUUGGAGAUUAUUACACAUAUCUGGGACCCAUACCUAUGGGAUGGGGUGCUUCUGCCUGGGCCCUGCCCACAAGGGACCUUGUAAAAUAUCUUUUUAUUUAUCACCUAGGAAAUGUGACUCUCUCUUACCUGUAUUCUGCCCAUAGAAAAUGUUGUGACAUAUUGCUGGGCCAUGACACCAGGUGAUUUGUCUUUCCUGCUAAGGCCAUGCCCAGAAGGAGCAUUUUGACAUCACUGGACUUAGCAUACAGGCAAUAUUAAUACAGGAGUUAAAUCAAAAUUAUUUUAGGGAGUUAGUAAGAGUAAGGGUUCUCAAUGGAAUUUUUCUUUAAUAAAACAGGGCCCCAGAGCUAUUUGUUUUCCUAAAAGAAAGCAGCCUAAAACGUGAAGCUGUAAGCAUAGAUCAGCAAGCUGGAAGCUUGCAUAUGCAAAUGCCAGGAGCUAUACUAAAAGCCAGGUACACCACACAUGACAAUUUUCCCUCCUUUUUCUGUCAUCACGUGUGCAGGUGUCAUGGCAUCGGCCAGGUAGAGAUUACAUUUACAUAAUAAAAGAUUAGGGUAGAAGGGACAUUUUCUUUGUGGGCUAUGUAAAUGGCACACCUGGUCAAACCAAUCUCCUGGGCCCUGUGUAAAUCAAUCACUGCCUCCUCAAUCCAAUCCUCUAUAAAAUUGAAUCUAUUCUGCCCCAAACUCAGAAACCCCCUUGGGUGACCCACUUUUUCUGAAAGAGGAAGCUCUGUCUCUCCCUUUC
rnacentral:lncRNA from 1 species